rnacentral:sRNA from 1 species
GCAUCUGCAAAUUCAGGUGUCGGGAUUAGAACCCCGCUGUUUACACCGAGACCAUGAUGACACGCCGCGAGCGUGUUUUUU